UGUGUGUGUGUGUGUGUAUAACAUGUAAAAUAGCCUAAUAAUCCAAAAUGAGCCCAAAAACUAGUAAAAGAGGCCUAAAAUCGUACUUAGCGUGCCCACGGACCGACCCGUUUAGCUCCCGUGUCAUGCAUGGACCGGGAGGCUGCACACAUGGGCCGGGACGGCAUGGCCCCGCUAAUAUUCAUGCCUAAGCGGGUCGUGCCGUGCCGACCCGUUUACAACC
rnacentral:lncRNA from 1 species